AACGGCAGCGGGGGUAGCUUGCUACCUGCCGGCGAGUGGCGAACGGGUGAGUAAUACAUCGGAACGUGCCCUGUAGUGGGGGAUAACUAGUCGAAAGACUAGCUAAUACCGCAUACGACCUGAGGGUGAAAGUGGGGGACCGCAAGGCCUCAUGCUAUAGGAGCGGCCGAUGUCUGAUUAGCUAGUUGGUGGGGUAAAGGCCCACCAAGGCGACGAUCAGUAGCUGGUCUGAGAGGACGAUCAGCCACACUGGGACUGAGACACGGCCCAGACUCCUACGGGAGGCAGCAGUGGGGAAUUUUGGACAAUGGGGGCAACCCUGAUCCAGCAAUGCCGCGUGUGUGAAGAAGGCCUUCGGGUUGUAAAGCACUUUUGUCCGGAAAGAAAUCGCUUCGGUUAAUACCUGGAGUGGAUGACGGUACCGGAAGAAUAAGGACCGGCUAACUACGUGCCAGCAGCCGCGGUAAUACGUAGGGUCCAAGCGUUAAUCGGAAUUACUGGGCGUAAAGCGUGCGCAGGCGGUUGUGCAAGACCGAUGUGAAAUCCCCGGGCUUAACCUGGGAAUUGCAUUGGUGACUGCACAGCUAGAGUGUGUCAGAGGGAGGUAGAAUUCCACGUGUAGCAGUGAAAUGCGUAGAGAUGUGGAGGAAUACCGAUGGCGAAGGCAGCCUCCUGGGAUAACACUGACGCUCAUGCACGAAAGCGUGGGGAGCAAACAGGAUUAGAUACCCUGGUAGUCCACGCCCUAAACGAUGUCAACUAGUUGUUGGGGAUUCAUUUCCUUAGUAACGUAGCUAACGCGUGAAGUUGACCGCCUGGGGGAGUACGGUCGCAAGAUUAAAACUCAAAGGAAUUGACGGGGACCCGCACAAGCGGUGGAUGAAGGUGGAUUAAUUCGAUGCAACG
rnacentral:rRNA from 1 species